CCUACGGGUGGCAGCAGUGAGGAAUAUUGGUCAAUGGGCGCGAGCCUGAACCAGCCAAGUAGCGUGCAGGAUGACUGCCCUACGGGUUGUAAACUUCUUUUAUAAAAGAAUAAACUGAGGCACGUGUGCCUUUCUGUAUGUACUUUAUGAAUAAGGAUCGGCUAACUCCGUGCCAGCAGCCGCGGUAAUACGGAGGAUCCGAGCGUUAUCCGGAUUUAUUGGGUUUAAAGGGAGCGUAGAUGGUCUGUUAAGUUAGUGGUGAAAUUCUGCGGCUCAACCGUAAAAUUGCAAUUGAUACUGGCAGCCUUGAGUGCAGUUGCGGUAGGCGGAAUUCAUGGUGUAGCGGUGAAAUGCUUAGAUAUC
rnacentral:rRNA from 1 species